GGGCAGCACUACAUUAUAUGAUGUGGACUCAAUUGACCCACUAAUUUUACAUAAAAUUUAAAAGAGACACAUAUAUUAGAUAGAAUUUAUAUUUUGACCUCAUUACAAAUCAAUUAUGACCCACUAAAAAUUAGCAAUAAAAAAAUAACUUCACUUUUUUUUAAGUAGUUACAUAAAAAAUAAAAAUCCAAUCAAUAUAGG
rnacentral:misc_RNA from 1 species